CUCGUAGGCGGCCAACUAGUCAGACGUGAAAUCCCUCGGCUUAACCGGGGAACUGCGUCUGAUACUGGAUGGCUAGAGGUUGGGAGAGGGAUGCGGAAUUCCAGGUGUAGCGGUGAAAUGCGUAGAUAUCUGGAGGAACACCGGUGGCGAAGGCGGCAUCCUGGACCAAUUCUGACGCUGAGGAGCGAAAGCCAGGGAGCAAACG
rnacentral:rRNA from 1 species